GCAGAGGCAGGUGGGCUGGAGUCAUUGCCAUAGGAGUCUGGAGCCAGGUGGAAAGAAACCAGGAUAUUCCAUCGGAGUGGGUAGAAGGAUUCUCUUUGUAUCAUUGAGGAGGCCUAGUGCAGAUCACAAGGCAUUAACUCCACAAGUACUGUGGUGAGGAGGCACCUGCUAAGGUGAAUGGAACUUGUUGGCUAGGUAGGGGCCACUCAUGGGAAUCAGGCAAGCCCUUGGGGGAGGCUAAAGUGAGGCUGUCAUCCCAACCUGAUGUUUCUUUUCGCAGGAGCCCAUUGAAGACCUGAGCCCAGACCGUGUCCUAGACCUGCAGGCCGAUGCUCGGCUGCAUGUCAUCUUUGGGGGCACCAAGGUGGUACAGCACAUUCCCCCGCAGAAGGCCACCUCGGGCCUGAAGCGUAGGUGCCUCAAGGAAGGGUGUCUUGGGUAUCCUGCACCUGCUAUAGUGUGAAGGAGGUGGGACAGGGUUGCUAACAGCAGGUGCCUCUCCUUGUUCCCUCAGCGGUCGACAAUGGAUGUGUGGCCUUUGUCCUGAGAACUGGGUUCAACACAUCCCAGGUAUGGUGCUGGAUUCCACGUAGGAGGGCCCAAAGUGUGAUAGCUCCUCCCAGAACUCACCCUAAGGCUAAUGCAGGCCUGCUUUCCCUAGGCUGAGAUAGCAGUGGAUAUGACCAAGGUAGUCUGGCUAUUACCAUUCCCAGGAGUUUGAUGUUAAGUGAGGUGCUCUGGUAAAUGCUUCAGGGUUCUACCUGAAGGGGUGAUGGAAGCCUGGCUUCCCUGUGGCCCUGUGGCUGGCCUUCUUGGAAGUCUAAUUCCUUGUCAGCCUACAGUGGUCUUAGGCAGGCAUUGCUGUUUAUUAGAAAGGCCAACCUCGAUGCUUUCAGGGAGCAGAGGCCACUCUCCCCCACAGAGCUUUCAGGAAAGGCUAAGUCCUGCCAAUCCUUGCAGGGCAGACUACUGCGUACAAUUCUCUUUGGGGUAAAGAGGGUCACUGCAAACAACUUGGAGACCUUUAUCUUCAUCCUCUUCCUCCUGGUCUUCGCCAUUGCUGCAGCUGCGUAUGUGUGGGUUGAAGGUAAGCGCCCUGAAAGCUCCUGUUCUGAAGCCUCAUCCCUGCCCCAGGCUGCCAGGCCCUGUUUCCACAGGGACCAAGGACCCCAGCCGGAACCGUUACAAGCUCUUUCUGGAGUGCACCCUCAUCCUCACCUCUGUUGUACCCCCUGAACUGCCCAUUGAACUGUCUCUGGCUGUCAACACCUCCCUCAUCGCCUUGGCCAAGCUCUGUGAGUGCUGAGUGAUUGGUGGGGCAUUGCAUAGAACAGGCAGGAGCCUGGAGGGAUCCCCUGACCCCAGGUCCCACCCUCCACCCCCAGACAUGUACUGCACAGAGCCUUUCCGGAUCCCCUUCGCUGGCAAGGUUGAAGUGUGUUGCUUUGACAAGACGGGUACCUUGACCAGUGACAGCCUGGUGGUGCGAGGCGUGGCAGGGCUGAGGUGAGCAUAAAGGAACUCUGUCUAAACCCCCCAGCAAACAGACCCAAGCUUGGUGUGAGCCUCCAUUGAAGUCCUGCCUCUGAGGUUCCGUUACAGAAGAUCCUAUGUGAUGAUCAAUAUGAGUGGCAUCAGAAAUAGAUAGGAAAUUAGUUCAGUCCCAGAACAGUCGGCCACAGACCUGUUACCUCAUCUGUUGGGAGCUCAGGAGUCAUCCCUGAGGCCAGUAGUCUCACCAAGGUACCCUUAGUGAAUAAAUAGCACACUGAGUACUAGCAGCUUGAGGUAGUCUCUGGUAGUAUUCACUGAAGGAUCCCAGGUCCCUUGGUAGAGGUACAGUUCACCCACCCGCCUAUAUCCACCUUGAAACCAACUGUCCUCGUCUUUGCAGAGAUGGGAAAGAGGUGACCCCAGUGUCCAGCAUUCCCAUAGAAACACACCGGGCCCUGGCCUCCUGCCACUCGCUCAUGCAGCUGGAUGACGGCACCCUAGUGGGUGACCCUCUGGAAAAGGCCAUGCUGACAGCUGUGGACUGGACACUGACCAAAGGUGAGGGACUGGCAUCCAAGGUCUGGCAUGGGUGGCCUCGUGUCCUGGACAGGCAGCCUCAUGUUAGUGACAUUCCUCCAGGCUAGUGCCCGGGCUGGCUUCACAUCGGUAUCUUCUUGGGUCUCUUGUCCAGCCUUCUCUGCCUGAUCCACUCACUGUACUGGGAUGAUCCUGAUCACAGCAUCUAGGGAUGCUGGGACGGGAAAACUGGGCAGGGGGGUGGGGGGGCUUGGCUACCUCUCUGGAGCAAAGCCCCUCAGGACUCGUACUUAUUUGUUUCCAGAUGAGAAAGUAUUCCCCCGAAGUAUAUUUUGCCAGUGCCCUAAAGCGAAUGUCUGUGCUCGCCUCCUACGAGAAGCUUGGCUCCACUGACCUCUGCUACAUCGCGGCUGUGAAGGGGGCCCCCGAAACCCUGCACUCUAUGGUGAGCCAGCCCCAGCCCUGGGGUUAAGGGGUAGGCAGGGAUCAAGCAGUGACGUCCUCCUCUGUUCCCUGCAGUUUUCUCAGUGCCCACCUGACUACCACCACAUCCACACUGAGAUCUCUCGGGAAGGAGCCCGUGUCCUGGCUCUGGGAUACAAGGAGCUAGGACAUCUCACACAUCAGCAGGUAAGGGCCUGCCACACUCAACAGCCCUGUUAGCCCACCACACCUUUCAUGGCACCUUCUUCCUCUGCUGUGGGAUGUCCUGGGCACCUCUUAAGGGGAGGCCGGAGACAUCCCAGAUCUCACCAUUCUUGUCCUUGCCACCUGGUGGUCAGAGGCCAUAGUGGAUCCAUACCCAUCCACUUCUAACCUCGAUCUCUUCCCCACUGCCUUCUAACCUGCUUCUGGGUCCUCGUCUAGUCUGUUCACCCCCUACAGCCGGCCCUCCCUCUAGAACGUAAUGUCAGCUGAGAGCCUUGACUAUAGAGGCAUUAGAGCCAGGACUCGGCCUCUGUCCUCCUGCGUUGUGCCUCCCUAGCUGCUGUUCUGGAGAACCCUGUAUGUCCCAAGCCUGUCUGUCCUCCUGGACCUGUUCACCCUGAGCCCCAACUUCACUCUCCUAUGAUCUUCACCCGCUUUCCUUGGUACUUUUUGGUUGCCCCAAGGGUAGUGGCCUUGCAUGGUCCGUGUCCAUAGUCAUGAGGUGUAGCAGGUACACUUAGGUCUAGACUCCAUCUUCAGUAGCUGCACCCCACUUUGCACCUGCCUUGCCUCCCACCUCCUGACUCUUGACCUGUCUCCUCUUAGAGGUCAGGGCCUUUCCUCCCGGCACCAGCACACAUGCACAGUGGCUCUGGUUGCUGAGGCACUUUAACUGCCUUCCUCCCUGUGUUGUACUCUGGGAGAUGUGAAGAGGCUGGUUGGAAGGGCAGACAGUAAAGUUAUCCCACAUCUGUCAACAGGCCCGGGAGAUCAAGCGGGAGGCACUGGAGUGCAGCCUCAAGUUUGUGGGCUUCAUCGUGGUCUCCUGUCCCCUCAAAGCUGACUCCAAGGCUGUGAUCCGAGAGAUCCAGAAUGCAUCCCACAGGGUAUGAGCAAACCGAGAGGUCGGGGCAGGGAGGUGGCCACAGAGGACUGUGCCACCCUCUGGGUCUCAGCAGUGAGAAAACCACAGGUUCUCAGAUGGGAUUGGGUAUAGCUGGCACUCUCAGAGUUAGGUAAGAAUGCUCUUUAGCAUGGCGCCUCACAAAACGCAUCACCUAUCACCUCCUCAGACUGAUGAGAAGGAGGUAGAAGCUUGAGGUAAGAGAUCUUGAGGCCAUGCCUGUCCUCGGGAGCAGUCCCAGCAAGAGGCAGAUAACAACUGGUCCCUACUGAGUCCUCAUAGGUCACAUCCCACCUUCCUCCCUUUCCUCGCCCUAGAAUGUUCUUUGUACAAACAGGUACAGAUCCUGGGCACUGACAGUCAAGGGCUAAUUUUUAACUUGUGUUUUAAAUAAAAGCAACUUAAGAGAACUUGCCAUUAAAAAAAAAAAAGCUGGGCGUGGUGGCGCACAUCUUUGAUCCCAGCACGGGGGGGGGGGGGGGGCAGGGGCAGAGGCAGGCAGAUUUCUGAGUUUGAGGCCAGCCUGAUCUACAAAGUGAGUUCCAGGAUAGCCAGAGCUACACAGAGAAAUCCUGUCUCGAAAAACC
rnacentral:lncRNA from 1 species